rnacentral:rRNA from 2 species
GACGGUAUUUAACCAGAAAGCCACGGCUAACUACGUGCCAGCAGCCGCGGUAAUACGUAGGUGGCAAGCGUUGUCCGGAUUUAUUGGGCGUAAAGCGAGCGCAGGCGGUUUUUUAAGUCUGAUGUGAAAGCCUUCGGCUCAACCGAAGAAGUGCAUCGGAAACUGGGAAACUUGAGUGCAGAAGAGGACAGUGGAACUCCAUGUGUAGCGGUGAAAUGCGUAGAUAUAUGGAAGAACACCAGUGGCGAAGGCGGCUGUCUGGUCUGUAACUGACGCUGAGGCUCGAAAGUAUGGGUAGCGAACAGGAUUAGAUAUCCUGGUAGUCCAUACCCUAAACGAUGAAUGCUAAGUGUUGGAGGGUUUCCGUCUCUUCAGUGUUGCAGCUAACUCUUUAGGCGUUCCCGCCUGGGGGGGUACUGCCACAUAGCUAAAAACUCAGAGGACUUUUUAGGGGCCCGCA